rnacentral:rRNA from 1 species
GACGAACGCUGGCGGCGUGCUUAACACAUGCAAGUCGAACGGAAAGGCCCUGCUUUUGGGGGGUGCUCGGGGGGCCAAAGGGUGGGUAAAAAGGGAGUAAACUGCCCUUGACUUUGGGAUAAAUUCAGGAAAAUUGGGCUAAAUACGGAUAGGAGCUCCUGCUGCAUGGGGGGGGUUGGAAAGGUUCGGCGGUUGGGGAUGGACUCGCGGCUUAUCAGCUUGUUGGUGGGGUAGUGGCUUACCAAGGCUUUGACGGGUAGCCGGCCUGAGAGGGUGACCGGCCACAUUGGGACUGAGAUACGGCCCAGACUCCUACGGGAGGCAGCAGUGGGGAAUAUUGCACAAUGGGCGGAAGCCUGAUGCAGCAACGCCGCGUGCGGGAUGACGGCCUUCGGGUUGUAAACCGCUUUCGCCUGUGACGAAGCGUGAGUGACGGUAAUGGGUAAAGAAGCACCGGCUAACUACGUG